GUAGGUGGCAAGCGUUGUCCGGAAUUAUUGGGCGUAAAGCGCGCGCAGGCGGUUCUUUAAGUCUGAUGUGAAAGCCCACGGCUCAACCGUGGAGGGUCAUUGGAAACUGGAGAACUUGAGUACAGAAGAGGAAAGCGGAAUUCCACGUGUAGCGGUGAAAUGCGUAGAGAUGUGGAGGAACACCAGUGGCGAAGGCGGCUUUCUGGUCUGUAACUGACGCUGAGGCGCGAAAGCGUGGGGGAGCAAACAGGAUUAGAUACCCUGGUAGUCCACGCCGUAAACGAUGAGUGCUAAGUGUUAGGGGGUUUCCGCCCCUUAGUGCUGCAGCUAACGCAUUAAGCACCCCCGCCUGGGAGUACGGCCGCAAGGCUG
rnacentral:rRNA from 1 species